rnacentral:rRNA from 1 species
ACGCUGGCGGCGUGCUUAACACAUGCAAGUCGAACGGUGAAGCGCCUUCCUUUUUGGUGGGUGUGGAUGAGUGGCGAACGGGUGAGUAACACGUGAGUAACCUGCCCCCUUCUUCUGGAUAACCGCAUGAAAGUGUGGCUAAUACGGGAUAUUCUGGGUCUGUCGCAUGAUGGGUCUGGGAAAGAUAUUGUUUCGGUGGGGGAUGGGCUCGCGGCCUAUCAGCUUGUUGGUGGGGUGAUGGCCUACCAAGGCGGUGACGGGUAGCCGGCCUGAGAGGGUGGACGGUCACACUGGGACUGAGACACGGCCCAGACUCCUACGGGAGGCAGCAGUGGGGAAUAUUGCACAAUGGGCGCAAGCCUGAUGCAGCGACGCCGCGUGAGGGAUGGAGGCCUUCGGGUUGUGAACCUCUUUCGCCAGUGAAGCAGGCCUGCCUCGUUUGUGGGUGGGUUGACGGUAGCUGGAUAAGAAGCGCCGGCUAACUACGUG